AGCGAACGUUAGCGGCGGGCCUAACACAUGCAAGUCGAGCGAGAAAGUGGCUUCGGCCAUCAGUAAAGCGGCGGACGGGUGAGUAACACGUAGGUAAUCUUCCUUCGAGCGGGGGACAACGGUCCGAAAGGACCGCUAAUACCGCAUACGUUUCUCGGGACCUCGGUCCUGGGAAGGAAAGCUAGGUAGCAAUAUCCGGCACUCGAUGAGGAGCCUGCGUCGCAUCAGCUAGUUGGUGGGGAAUGGCCCACCAAGGCGAAGACGCGUAGCUGGUCUGAGAGGAUGAUCAGCCACACUGGGACUGAGACACGGCCCAGACUCCUACGGGAGGCAGCAGUGGGGAAUAUUGGACAAUGGGCGCAAGCCUGAUCCAGCCACGCCGCGUGAGUGAUGAAGGCCU
rnacentral:rRNA from 1 species